UACGUAGGGUGCGAGCGUUAAUCGGAAUUACUGGGCGUAAAGCGUGCGCAGGCGGUUUGUUAAGUCUGAUGUGAAAGCCCCGGGCUCAACCUGGGAACUGCAUUGGAAACUGGCGAGCUAGAGUGUGGCAGAGGGGGGUGGAAUUCCGCGUGUAGCAGUGAAAUGCGUAGAGAUGCGGAGGAACACCGAUGGCGAAGGCAGCCCCCUGGGCUGACACUGACGCUCAGGCACGAAAGCGUGGGGAGCAAACAGG
rnacentral:rRNA from 1 species